rnacentral:rRNA from 1 species
ACAAGCGGUGGAGUAUGUGGUUAAUUCGAUGCAACGCGAAGAACCUUACCUGGUCUUGACAUCCCGGAGACCCUUAGGAAACUAGGGGGUGCUUCCAUCUGGAAGAAUCUGGAGACAGGUGCUGCAUGGCUGUCGUCAGCUCGUGUCGUGAGAUGUUGGGUUAAGUCCCGCAACGAGCGCAACCCUUGCCUUUAGUUGCCAGCAGUUCGGCUGGGCACUCUAAAGGGACUGCCGGUGUUAAACCGGAGGAAGGUGGGGAUGACGUCAAGUCCUCAUGGCCUUUAUGACCAGGGCUACACACGUACUACAAUGGCCGAUACAAAGGGCAGCGACACUGCGGGGUGAAGCCAAUCCCGUAAAAUCGGUCUCAGUCCGGAUUGGAGUCUGCAACUCGACUCCAUGAAGUUGGAAUCGCUAGUAAUCGUGGAUCAGCAUGCCACGGUGAAUACGUUCCCGGGCCUU